GAUGAACGCUGGCGGCGUGCCUAAUACAUGCAAGUCGAGCGAAUGGAUUAAGAGCUUGCUCUUAUGAAGUUAGCGGCGGACGGGUGAGUAACACGUGGGUAACCUGCCCAUAAGACUGGGAUAACUCCGGGAAACCGGGGCUAAUACCGGAUAACAUUUUGAACCGCAUGGUUCGAAAUUGAAAGGCGGCUUCGGCUGUCACUUAUGGAUGGAACCGCGCCGCAUUAGCUAGUUGGGGAGGUAACGGCUCACCAAGGCAACGAUGCGUAGACGACCUGAGAGGGUGAUCGGCCACACUGGGACUGAGACACGGCCCAGACUCCUACGGGAGGCAGCAGUAGGGAAUCUUCCGCAAUGGACGAAAGUCUGACGGAGCAACGCCGCGUGAGUGAUGAAGGCUUUCGGGUCGUAAAACUCUGUUGUUAGGGAAGAACAAGUGCUAGUUGAAUAAGCUGGCACCUUGACGGUACCUAACCAGAAAGCCACGGCUAACUACGUGCCAGCAGCCGCGGUAA
rnacentral:rRNA from 1 species